GUUGUGUAUUUCACCAGGGAAGAGUGGACUCUGCUGGACCCUGUUCAGAGAGCUCUCUACGGGGAUGUCAUGCAGGAGAACUAUGAGACGGUGGUCUUGAUGGGAUGUUUGGCAGAAGGAGUU